UACGUAGGGUGCGAGCGUUAAUCGGAAUUACUGGGCGUAAAGCGUGCGCAGGCGGUGAUGUAAGACAGAUGUGAAAUCCCCGGGCUCAACCUGGGAACUGCAUUUGUGACUGCAUCGCUGGAGUGUGGCAGAGGGGGGUGGAAUUCCGCGUGUAGCAGUGAAAUGCGUAGAGAUGCGGAGGAACACCGAUGGCGAAGGCAGCCCCCUGGGCCAACACUGACGCUCAGGCACGAAAGCGUGGGGAGCAAACAGG
rnacentral:rRNA from 1 species